rnacentral:sRNA from 1 species
AGCCGUGCCCGACGACCACUACCACGACGACCACAACCACAACAAAAACUACAACCACGCCGACCACGACUCCGACUACAACUCCGAAGGCACAAUCCUUCUCUACAUCAGACAGUCUGUGGUGGAUUAUACUAGCAGCCUUGUUCGGGACAAUUUUUCUAGGUGUUACAGCCUGGCUUUGUUUGACACGUGUCAGUAACUUCUGUGCUGGGAACAUCGCCAAGGGCCACUGGGCUCGGGGAUGCAGUGGGCGUGGCAUGUGCAAUGGGGAAUGCUGUCAAAGAAAGAAAGUUCCAAAAGCACCAAACAGAGUAAUUGAAAUGCAGCCUA